UACGGAGGGUGCGGGCGUUGUCCGGAAUUACUGGGCGUAAAGGGCGCGGAGGCGGCCCGGUAAGUAGGAGGUGAAAUCCUGCGGCUUAACCGCAGGGCUGCCUUCUAAACUGCCAGGCUUGAGCACAGUAGAGGCAGGUGGAAUUCCCGGUGUAGCGGUGGAAUGCGUAGAGAUCGGGAAGAACAUCGGUGGCGAAGGCGGCCUGCUGGGCUGUUGCUGACGCUGAGGCGCGACAGCGUGGGGAGCAAACAGG
rnacentral:misc_RNA from 1 species